AGAAAGGUGUUGCCAUCACAUAUUUCAUUUUUAUCAGUUUUUAGCUCAGAUAAUCUAGACAACACUUUGUCCUUAGUUACUUCACCAUCAAAUUCAGCCAAGGGGUAAACUCCACAGAAAAGUGCAGAUGCUAUCAGAAAAACAGAGGGAAUGAGAUGGAAAGGAGAAAAAUUUUAAAAGGAAAGAAAAAUGCUGAAAGGUAUAAAAAUAAAGAAGAAAGAUGGAAAACUCUCCACAUUCACAACUUAGCUAACCCAUCAUGAAAAAAUUUAUCCAUAUUCAACUCUAGCAGUAUCAUGGUUUCCAGGUCUUCGAUCUCCACAAGAAUUUGUCUUCAUGUUCAAGAUUCCUCCCUCAGCAGCAAGUGCAGCAAUGCUGCCAGUCUUGGAAAGAGGAGCUGCAGUCCUGGGGGCAGUGCCAAAGCACAAGAAUCCACAGACAUGUUUAGGGAGCACCAGAUUCCAUUCACAAAUGGGCUGAGAAGGGCUCUCAAAAGUCCCUUUCCUCAGGUUCAUGGUGAUUUCUACCCGAGUUCAGAAGCUGAAGACUGCACAGUGACAGGAGGGACAGCUGCUUGAAAGACCAGACUUACAGACUUAUUCCUGAAGGAGGGAGAGUCUGAAGAAGCAAACAAUGUUUGAAAGAGUGGUUAGAAUGCCAGAGAGUUGCAAACUUAACUGCAGAACCUUGCACCUUGCUUUUGCCACUGCAAAAAUUUUAUAAUAAAACACUUCUAAGAGAUUUUUCA
rnacentral:lncRNA from 1 species